CCCUUAGAUGUUCUGGGCUGCACGCGCGCUACACUGAUGCGUUCAACGAGUUUAUGACCUUGCCCGAUAGGGUUGGGUAAUCUUUUUAAAUCGCAUCGUGAUGGGGAUAGAUUAUUGCAAUUAUUAAUCUUCAACGAGGAAUUCCUAGUAAGCGCGAGUCAUCAGCUCGUGCUGAUUACGUCCCUGCCCUUUGUACACACCGCCCGCCGCUCCUACCGAUUGAGUGAUCCGGUGAAUAAUUCGGACUGCAGCAGUGUUCAGUUCCUGAACGUUGCAGCGGAAAGUUUAGUGAACCUUAUCACUUAGAGGAAGGAGAANUCGUAACA
rnacentral:rRNA from 1 species